rnacentral:lncRNA from 1 species
GUAUCUAAAGGGCUAUACCCCUUCUGAAGUCUCUAGGGAAAAUCAUUUCCUUGACUUUUUCAUUUCUGGAGGCUCCUUGCAUUUCAGGCUCAUGGCCCCUUUCCUCCAUCUCUAAGCCAGCAGCAGCCCCUGCUUUCUUUUGCAUGGUUUCUCUCUGUCCUUAAAAUUGGCCCCAGAUUUCAUACAGAAUAUCUGAAUGAAACAAAGGCAAAGCUUUAGUGGUGAGCAUGAGAUGGCAAGUCUUUUCUUCAUAAUCAUCAUAACAGAAAGCAACUGUACCCAUUAUCUACCCAGUAGGACCUUGACCUCUUUAAGAACCAGGGAUGAGUUGACAGGAAAGGAAAGUGGAGUGUAAACCAGUGCUUCAAAACCAGCAGCUGCCACAAACUGUAGUGACCUUUCAGUGUCCCGCCGACUUCCACUCUCUUGCUUCCAGCAGGAGUUAGAAUCUAACAUUUCUUUACAAUGACCUCUCUAACUUCUUGGACUCAAGGGUCUUAGAGAAAACGAAAGACAAAGGAACCAUCUUCUUCCUUGAGGUCAACAAUGGAAGGAGACGUAGAAGACACCAAAACAAGAACUUGGCAGGCUCAGGACAUGACAACGGAGACACAGUUUACAGGACCUCAUUCGCACUCCAAUGACAAUGAAAGGAAGGGGGUGUUGGGCAGAGAAGCAAAGAGCUCCGGUUCUCACCAUCACAUGGUAGCGGGUGUAAGUUUGUUCCCAACAUACCAGACAGAGAGCAACUCUCACCAGAGAAGAUCCCAAUGUGUUUUAUGCUAGAUCUGACUUUAAUUAAGUGUAGACAAUGCUCCCAUCAGUGCUGGAACUGGCCCCGGUAACUUGCUUUAGCUGAUGGAAUGUUACCAAACACAACAUGAUCAAAGGCUUGAGAGAUGAUUUCCCUCCUGUGCUUCCGCAAUUACCAUGAAAAGAACAUGGCCUGGUGGUCCCUGAUCCCCAAAGAAUGACGGACACCUGGAAAAAGCUUGGAGUAACAGAUUCAUGAGCAAGAAUAAAUAAUUAUUGUUUUAAU